rnacentral:snRNA from 1 species
AUACUUUCCUGGCAGGGGAGAUAGCAGGAUAGCGAAGGUGGUUUUUCCAGAGUAAGACUUAUCAUCCAAUGUACUGCAAAUCUACUAACCGAUCCCUGCAUUUUCCACAAAUGUGGGAAAUUCAACCACACAAUUUACGACGGCAUGUGGGGGGGGGGAUUCGUUCACAUUCUUCCA